ACGGAAGGCAGCAGUGGGGAAUAUUGGGCAAUGGGGGAAACCCUGACCCAGCAACGCCGCGUGAAGGAAGAAGGCCUUCGGGUUGUAAACUUCUUUUACCAGGGACGAAGAAUGACGGUACCUGGAGAAAAAGCAACGGCUAACUACGUGCCAGCAGCCGCGGUAAUACGUAGGUUGCAAGCGUUGUCCGGAUUUACUGGGUGUAAAGGGCGUGUAGGCGGAGAUGCAAGUCAGAAGUGAAAUCUAGGGGCUCAACCCCUAAACUGCUUUUGAAACUGUAUCCCUUGAGUAUCGGAGAGGCAGGCGGAAUUCCCAGUGUAGCGGUGAAAUGCGUAGAUAUUGGGAGGAACACCAGUGGCGAAGGCGGCCUGCUGGACGACAACUGACGCUGAGGCGCGAAAGCGUGGGGAGCAAACAGGAUUAGAUACCCUGGUA
rnacentral:rRNA from 1 species